rnacentral:lncRNA from 1 species
AACAAAUAAUUUUUCUUUUGUAGUGAUAUAAUAUGGAAACUUCUAAUUGCAUCAACAUGCAAUUCUGAAUGCUGUUACACCAGAAGAUCUGGAGCCUGCUCCCUCCUUGAGCAGUGCUGAUGUGUGUGAGGAAGGUUUGCAUGAACACUACAGCUCAGUUAAGGUCCUUCUCCUUAUCUGGAUUGUGAAGACUCUGAGCAAGUUAAGAUGACUAAGCUUGAUACCAUCUCUUGCUGUCCACCUAGUAUUAUGUGGAAUGCUGUGCCACCAGUGAGCUGAUCUUGUAGUACAGCUGUCAUGGCAGGAUACGGUAGAGGCCAGUUUUCAGAGGAGUGGGGCACAGAAAUAUACAGAAUAGUUCCAGGCACUGCGAAUAAUGGUUUAAUUGCUGGGUCUCUGUGUUUGUGCUUCAUCCACUACAAAGAAGAAAAUAAGAGGGAAUAUAAAUAUAGGAAUGGACAUGCUGGUUGUAGAUGGAGCUUCCUAGUAUGUUUGAAUGACUGCCAGCAACCUCUCUGUUACUUACAGCACACAUAUUUGUCUCCUGUUUGUGUUGCAUAUUUUCUCAACAAAUGAUUUUGUCUACAUGACAUAAAACAUUCUUUGUGUUGGAGGGAAUUACUAUGAGCUGUUCUUUCCUUUAAAUAGUAUGACAAUGAACAAUAAUAAUCCACAAAGAGAGAAAGUCCUUGAUAUGAAAAAUGUCAUCUUUCUAAAACCUAGAUACUGUUCUGUUGCUUCUGUCCAAGUUUUAUUGUAACAGCUGAGGUGCGGAAUGGGACAGAAGGCCAUUGAGAGCAGCAGCAUCCUAGUGUCUUUCCUAAUCUCUAUCAUGAUGCUGAUGGAGGAAACCCUCUUUAAGAACCAUUUUAGUCUUUCUUGCAUUUUGUUCUACAUUCUCAGGUAUAAAACCCAGAAAUCAACUUAAAGAAAUAGAGCUAACCUUUCAAUAGAGCAGUUGUGUAAUAGAGAGUGGCUUUCUCUCAACAAUUUCUCGACUGAUACUCUGGAGCCUUCUCAACGUCUCCUCAUCUUCCUCCUGCCAGAACUUCUCCCUGCUUACCCCUCUGAUAUUUUCUCUGAUGCUUCUCAGGCUGCAAGUAGUGGGACUUUAUUUUCACAUCUUGUCAACUUCAGAAAGAUUGGAAUUGCCUGGGUUACAGAUCAUGUGUGUGGAAAGAUGGUAAUUACACAGAAACUGUGUAGGCUCCCAGGUAACUAGUGGGUACAAGGCUUUUGUUACACUUAUCCCAUUCUAACAAGCCUGACAUAUUCUGUUGUAUCAUUUGAUUCUCUGGGUGAAUAUGGUCCCCUCAUUGCUAACGUGUUCACCCUAAUUACAGUUUUCUUAACACACGUGUUUUAAAGACCGUGUGGUUUUAUCUGUUGGCGUAGUAGGCUCAGUGAUUGUACUCCUGAUUUAUGUUGCACUACUGGAGACUACAGUAAGAAACAGAUAUGUGUAUGGGUCCAAGGAAGUGAUUAAGGUAGAAAGGCAAAAAAUUUCUCCUCUGCUGCUGUGCUCCAGUAGCUGAAGGCCCCCUGUAAGCAAAUAAUGCAAUCAUUUAACAAAUUUCAUUGGCAACUGAGGCAGACAGGCAGGGCACUGGCUUUAACUUCUGUAUUUGACUUUGCAAUUAGGCCGGAGGGAUUUAUUUUCAAUUUGCAAAAGCCAAUCUAAUUCAUCAGCACAAGAGGCUAUAGGGAGGAUGUUCAGGCGAUUAAAACUGAUCACUGUGAUCCAUUUUGGGCAGCAAAACAGUGCCAUAUUGUUAAUUCUGAUGCCAGUCAGCAAGGGGAAUUCCUGCAGCAUGGACUGGAGUUUGUUAUGGGCCAGCACUGCUCAUAACUUUGUGACAGCAGCAACCCCCUCCAACCCUCACUGACAGUGAGCGAGGAUGUGGUAUUUUGGGUCUAUGGUUCAAGGUACUGGGAGCCCUGCCACAUCUAUUUGUGGUGUGGGUGCAGCAGCUGGAGCUGAGUGGUCUCUGCAGGUCCUGCUGAAUCCCUCUGUCCCUCAGCAGGACUUACAAGCAUAGGAAUGGUGCCACAUGGAUGUACCCAGACAGCUCAGGUCUGGAUAUGUGCCCAGACUGGUAAACCCACUAGGAAAAUUUCUGCAGAGAGUUUAAACUUAGUAGGAUUACACCUUGUCAGAGCUUGUAGGAAAUCCCAUGACUGACUUGAUUUCUGGAUGCUUCUGCCUUGGGCUUCUUGGUGCACAAGGGAAUAUGAGGGUAGUGCAGACAGCAGCUCAAAAUCUGCUAAUGUCUGGUGCAGCUCAUUAGCCUGGGCCAGGUGCCAGCUCAGCUCCAUCCAAGCUCUGCAAACAGCUCCUGCAAACAGUAUGGUCCUGCUAGUGUGACACUGUAUAUGAAUGAACAAAGCCCACCAGACCCAGAUCCAUGCUGUUUGAGCCUGAGACUUGUUUGGACCACUCUAUGUUGCUGUCAGAACAACUGUAGAUUGAGUUGUCUAUCCCUGCAUUUAUUCAUUAUGCGGCACUGGACUAGAAGGAAGCUAGUAUAGAAACUACUACUCUCAACAAUGAAAGCGCUAUGAAGUGUUGUGCUGGGAGGUAUUUGUGACAGCAAAUAAAUUUGAUGGAAAAAUGUUAAAGGUAUUUUCA